rnacentral:tRNA from 2 species
CCGUUCCGUACACCACGGGGGAGCGGGUGUUCGGGCCGCCCGGCGGGACGUUCGAUCCCGACUGGGCGGCC